rnacentral:rRNA from 1 species
AGAGUUUGAUCCUGGCUCAGGAUGAACGCUGGCGGCGUGCCUAACACAUGCAAGUCGAGCGAAGCACUUUACUUUGAGAUCUUCGGAAGGAAAAGUUUUGUGACUGAGCGGCGGACGGGUGAGUAACGCGUGGGUAACCUGCCCCAUACAGGGGGAUAACAGUUAGAAAUGACUGCUAAUACCGCAUAAGACCACAGCACCGCAUGGUGCAGGGGUAAAAACUCCGGUGGUAUGGGAUGGACCCGCGUCUGAUUAGCUAGUUGGUGAGGUAACGGCCCACCAAGGCAACGAUCAGUAGCCGACCUGAGAGGGUGACCGGCCACAUUGGGACUGAGACACGGCCCAAACUCCUACGGGAGGCAGCAGUGGGGAAUAUUGCACAAUGGGGGAAACCCUGAUGCAGCGACGCCGCGUGAGCGAAGAAGUAUUUCGGUAUGUAAAGCUCUAUCAGCAGGGAAGAAACUGACGGUACCUGACUAAGAAGCACCGGCUAAAUACGUGCCAGCAGCCGCGGU